GGGGGGUAAGAAUUUCCACGUGUAGCAGUGAAAUGCGUUAGAGAUGUGGAGGGAAUACCGAUGGCGAAGGCAGCCCCUGGGCCAAAUACUGACGCUCAUGCAGAAAGCGUGGGGAGCAAACAGGAUUAGAUACCGUGGUAGUCCACGCCCUAAACGAUGUCAACUAGUUGUUGGGGAUUCAUUUCCUUAGUAACGUAGCUACGCGUGAAGUUGACCGCCUGGGGAGUACGGUCGCAAGAUUAAAACUCAAAGGAAUUGACGGGGACCCGCACAAGCGGUGGAUGAUGUGGAUUAAUUCGAUGCAACGCAAAAAACCUUACCUACCCUUGACAUGGUCGGAACCCUGGUGAGAGCUGGGGGUGCUCGAAAGAGAACCGACACACAGGUGCUGCAUGGCUGUCGUCAGCUCGUGUCGUGAGAUGUUGGGUUAAGUCCCGCAACGAGCGCAACCCUUGUCCUUAGUUGCUACGCAAGAGCACUCUAAGGAGACUGCCGGUGACAAACCGGAGGAAGGUGGGGAUGACGUCAAGUCCUCAUGGCCCUUAUGGGUAGGGCUUCACACGUCAUACAAUGGUCGGAACAGAGGGUCGCUAAGCCGCGAGGUGGAGCCAAUCCCAGAAAACCGAUCGUAGUCCGGAUCGUAGUCUGCAACUCGACUACGUGAAGCUGGAAUCGCUGGUAAUCGCGGAUCAGCAUGCCGCGGUGAAUACGUUCCCGGGUCUUGUACACACCGCCCGUCACACCAUGGGAGUGGGUUUUACCAGAAGUGGCUAGUCUAACGCAAGGAGGACGGUCACCACGGUAGGAU
rnacentral:rRNA from 1 species